rnacentral:rRNA from 1 species
UACGUAGGGUGCAAGCGUUGUCCGGAAUUAUUUGGCGUAAAGCGCUCGUAGGCGGUUUGUUGCGUCGGCUGUGAAAUCCCGAGGCUCAACCUCGGGUCUGCAGUCGAUACGAGCAAACUAGAGUGUUGCAGGGGAGACUGGAAUUCCUGGUGUAGCGGUGAAAUGCGCAGAUAUCAGGAGGAACACCGGUGGCGAAGGCGGGUCUCUGGGCAACAACUGACGCUGAGGAGCGAAAGCGUGGGGAGCGAACAGG